rnacentral:tmRNA from 1 species
GGGGGUGAAAUGGUUUCGACGAGGGUAGAAGAGGUAGGAGAAGCGAGCCCAGGACCAUGGCCUGGUUAAAACAUGGAACGGCUAUAACUGCCAAACAAGAAUACGCACUCGCCGCUUAGGAAAAAGCGACGCGCCCCUCUUUUCCGUGCUUGCCGGAAAAGAAGCGGGUGUCAGAAAAGCAGGCUACCCGUAUUGAAGGCCGCUCUUCCUUUUAAACGGGGAAUCUGAAAAGAGAUAGUACCGGGAUAUCCGGCCCAGGGGAGAUUCCGGUAUGAAACUAAAACUGAGGCUACGCUCGUAGAUGCUCCUGCAGCUGUACUUUCGGACGCGGGUUCGACUCCCGCCACCUCCACCA